rnacentral:misc_RNA from 1 species
GACAGAGGGUGCAAGCGUUGUUCGGAAUUACUGGGCGUAAAGCGCGCGCAGGCGGCUUUGCAAGUCGGGAGUGAAAUACCGGGGCUCAACCCCGGGGCUGCUUCCGAAACUGCAUGGCUAGGGACCGGUAGAGGCUGGUGGAAUUCCCGGUGUAGCGGUGGAAUGCGUAGAUAUCGGGAAGAACACCCGUGGCGAAGGCGGCCAGCUGGGCCGGGUCCGACGCUGAGGCGCGAAAGCGUGGGGAGCAAACAGG